rnacentral:rRNA from 1 species
CAUAUCAAUAAGCGGAGGAAAAGAAACUAACCAAGGAUUCCCCUAGUAACUGCGAGUGAAGCGGGAAAAGCUCAAAUUUAAAAUCUGGCAGUCCUUUUGGCUGUCCGAGUUGUAAUCUAGAGAAGCGUUAUCCGCGCUGGACCGUGUACAAGUCUCCUGGAAUGGAGCGUCAUAGAGGGUGAGAAUCCCGUCUUUGACAUGGACUGCCAGGGCUUUUGUGAUACGCUCUCAAAGAGUCGAGUUGUUUGGGAAUGCAGCUCAAAAUGGGUGGUAAAUUCCAUCUAAAGCUAAAUAUUGGCGAGAGACCGAUAGCGAACAAGUACCGUGAGGGAAAGAUGAAAAGAACUUUGGAAAGAGAGUUAAACAGUACGUGAAAUUGCUGAAAGGGAAACGCUUGAAGUCAGUCGCGUUGUCCAGGGAUCAACCUUGCUUUUUGCUUGGUGUACUUUCUGGGUUGACGGGUCAGCAUCAAUUUUGAUCAUUGGAAAAAGGUCAGGGGAAUGUGGCAUCUUUUGGAUGUGUUUAUAGCCCUUGGUUGUAUACAAUGGUUGGGAUUGAGGAACUCAGCACGCCGCAAGGCCGGGUUUUUUUUUUUAAAUAAGAAAAAAUCACGUUUUUACGUGCUUAGGAUGCUGGCAUAAUGGCUUUAAUCGACCCGUCUUGAAACACGGACCAAGGAGUCUAACAUGCCUGCGAGUGUUUGGGUGGAAAACCCGAGCGCGAAAUGAAAGUGAAAGUUGAGAUCCCUGUCGUGGGGAGCAUCGACGCCCGGACCAGACCUUUUGUGACGGUUCCGCGGUAGAGCAUGUAUGUUGGGACCCGAAAGAUGGUGAACUAUGCCUGAAUAGGGUGAAGCCAGAGGAAACUCUGGUGGAGGCUCGUAGCGAUUCUGACGUGCAAAUCGAUCGUCAAAUUUGGGUAUAGGGGCGAAAGACUAAUCGAACCUUCUAGUAGCUUGG